GCUGGCGGCACGCCUAAACAUGCAAGUCGAACGAAGUAGCAAUACUUAGUGGCAGACGGGUGAGUAACAUGUAGGUAUCUGCCCUUUGGCCUGGAAUAACACGAGGAAACUUGUGCUAAUACCGGAUAAGUCUUUACGGAGAAAGCUUUAUGCACCAUUGGAUGAGCCUGCACUUGAUUAGUUUGUUGGUGGGGUAAUGGCCUACCAAGACUGUGAUCAAUAGCUGAUUUGAGAGGAUGAUCAGCCACAUUGGGACUGAGACACGGCCCAAACUCCUACGGGAGGCAGCAGUGGGGAAUCUUGCACAAUGGAGGAAACUCUGAUGCAGCGAUGCCGCGUGAGUGAAGAAGGCCCUUGGGUUGUAAAGCUCUUUCGUCGGGGAAGAAAAUGACUGUACCCGAAUAAGAAGGUCCGGC
rnacentral:rRNA from 1 species